AACGAACGCUGGCGGCAGGCUUAACACAUGCAAGUCGAACGCCCCGCAAGGGGAGUGGCAGACGGGUGAGUAACACGUGGGGAUCUGCCCAAUGGUACGGAAUAAUUCCGGGAAACUGGGACUAAUACCGUAUGUGCCCGCAAGGGGAAAGAUUUAUCGCCAUUGGAUGAACCCGCGUCGGAUUAGCUAGUUGGUGAGGUAAAGGCUCACCAAGGCGACGAUCCGUAGCUGGUCUGAGAGGAUGAUCAGCCACACUGGGACUGAGACACGGCCCAGACUCCUACGGGAGGCAGCAGUGGGGAAUAUUGGACAAUGGGCGCAAGCCUGAUCCAGCCAUGCCGCGUGAGUGAUGGAGGCCUUAGGGUUGUAAAGCUCUUUCGCCGACGAAGAUAAUGACGGUAGUCGGAGAAGAAGCCCCGGCUAACUUCGUGCCAGCCGCCGCGGUAAAAC
rnacentral:rRNA from 1 species